GAGAAGCCCAUUCCCAAGAAUUUCCACCCCAGGAAGUCUUCCCAGACUGUGGUCUACCACAGGAGGGUCUGAAGUUACUCAGAUCCCUGGCUCAACCCCAGCCUCUGGGGGCCUUCCCAUGUCCCCUUCACAAGCUCACAUGCAGUCAUGCCCAGUCUUCCUCACCCUCUGGCUCUGCCUCAGUGACCUCCAUUUGAUCCAGCCGUGCCAAGAGAAGUUGGGCAUCGUGCUCUAGAUGUGAGCCUGGCAUGUUCACGUGCACAUACUCCACCACGAGCUUUAGGCAGGGGAAGUCCGGGGGCUGAUUGAAAUCCUCCGAGUAUUCCUUUAGCCAUGUGCCCAGGAUAAAAGAGAUGGCGCUGGGGGUGGGUGGUGAAGAGCAGGGUCAGAAGCCUGGCUUUUCCCACCACACUGCCCUCCCAGGGCACCCCUGCAAGGGGCGAGUCCCUCUGUCUACCCCUGUACCGUUGACCUCCCAAAGGUCAGCACCACCCUGUAUCAUGCCCUCUGGCUGCCCUGAUGGUGGCAGGCCUGGUCACUGAUGGGGCUAGCACAGAGCCUUGUCCCUGGGAGCUCCCCAUCAAUGGUCUGUCCAACUCUCCCUCCUCGGGGAGCCUGAAUUACAUCCCUUUCUGUCCCCUGGCCCUCUCCGCACUGGAUAGUAACACUCUAAGGGAACGGAGAUGUGUGUCUGCAUGUUCACCUCAGUAGUGCUCCAGGAUUAUCUGAUGCCGGACGACACACGGAGACAGUACCCUGAUCCAGAUGCCCAGGCCAUAGAACCCCUCCUCUGGAGCGUGUGCACCAACGUGCUGCCUGGCUCUCUGCAUGCGUGUGAAGGCCUCUUCUCCCAUGGAGACUGUUCUCCCCUGGGACAGGGGCCCCUCAUGCAGCUGAGCACCCAUGACUGGUGAUCAGGAUUUGGGAGCAAUUUUCUCCACCCCCCGCUCCUCCUCCCCCAGCACCUCCUGUUUUGGGCCCCAAAUAGGGGAGGGGGCAACAGGUGAUGUGAGGGGAUUGUGGGAAGAUGAAUUCUCUCAGGGGCAUCUCUGAGCCCGCAGCCUCCCCUCUACUGUCCAGGAUGCCCAGGUUCCACUCCUAGCUCUCAAUGACUGCUUACGCCCUGCAGGGGGUGUCUCUAAACUCAUCCCUCUAGUGGAAUCUAGAUGUGUGGGGCCCAGGGUCUGCCAGCCCCAAUCCAGACACAGGCCCCCUAAAACCUCAGCCCCUCCUUCUCCACCCAAAGUCCACUCACCAUUUCAGCUGCUCCUGGGGCUCACCGUACUCAGCAGAAUAGGGGUGGUUACAUCCAUACCUAGAGGUGGUAUGAGGGUGUCACAUCUAAUGCACUGUGGACACUACUUGCUUAAGAUGUCUAGUGUUCCUGUCUGAUUCUCGGACUGGAGGCCCAGGAGGACAGGGCUUCUUAUCUGCUUUGUUCACUGAAUAGUGCUAAAUACCGAGAACUGUGUCUGCAACAGUAGGGGCUUCAUGGAUGACUGGUGAAUGAGUGAACCCAACCAGCACCCUCCCAGGUAUCUAAGUGUCCUGGUGCCCCUCUAUCAGCCUACAGGGAUCCCUGUUCUGGCUAUACCAAGGACCCACUAAAUGGAAUCUCAAACUCCCCUUUACGAAUGGGAAGUAGGUUUGCUCAAGAGUGCGUAGUCAGUGAGGGGUGAGGCAGAAAGCUUCUUAAUGGGGGAGAGGCAAAUAAUAAAUGUGAACAUCCUAGGCCCUCCAGCACCCUUCAUCUUAGAGCUGGGCUCCAGGUACACACUUCCUGUGGCUUAUCCCAUGUGGUCCUGACAGUAAUUCUAGCUGAUUGGACCUUUACCACCCCUCUUCUCAGGGAAGAAAACUGAGGCUCUGAGUAGUGAAGUGACAUUCUCCAGACUCACAGCUGGUAGCAGGUAGAGUCCCCAUUGGGCUAUGGAGGGUGGGGCGCUCACCUUCGGAGAAGCUGGUCUAGGACCUGCUGGGUGGUGGCGUAGGUUCUGUAGGCUCCCAGAAAGAUUUUGAUGUAGGAGAUGUCACCCUUUAUGUAGGCGGGCACCAGGAGCUCCACCAGCUUCUGCAGUGAGCCUGCCUUGAAGGUUUUCAUCACCCAGGCCUCAUUCAGGUCUUCGUCAGAACCACAGACACACUGGGGUGGGACAGAGGAGGGACACACUGUCAGAGGCAGCCCCAUGAACCACCAGGAGUGUUGUGGGCCCAGAGGUCAGACUAGGUACUCCGUCUCCCUCAGUGAUCUGUGGCAGGAGGUGGGACACAAGUGCCUUUAGCAGCAAAGAGAACUCAGCUUUCCAAGCAGGAUUGGAGGUGGGGGAUGAUUACAAACAUUAGGAACCUGAAGUGAUUUUGUUAACGAAGUAACCAUGGUAUCUCCCUGAAGGAAGAGCAGUAUCCCAGUGAGUCCUCACAAAACACCCCAUUCCAGAGGUGUGAAAACAGAAGCUUGGUGACAUCCAUUGUCAACUCAAAGUCACCUGAUCAGAGCCCAGAACUGUCUGAAACUAGGGCUCCGUGAGGUUUCCUCUGUGCUAGGUGAGGCCUGCUCUGUUCCUGACUCGGAGGGGAAGGUCUGGUGCAAGCUCACUUCCUCCCAGAUGAAGACAGUGCACAGAGCAGGCACCCAUGAGGAAGCAGCUGUGAUGUAUGACCUGCACAUGGAGAGACUCAUGUGACAAAGAGCUGAGGGAGGGUCCUGAUCAACAAAGAGGAAAUGAAGCCCCUAAGUCCAGCAGCUCUCAGAGUCCUGCUCAUAACAUGGAAGUGAAUAGGGAGCAGAUCUCCUGAGUCAGGACUCAGUUGAGACAACCACCACAGGCUCCUGAGAACUUGGGGCAGUUCCCAGAUUGUGACCUCCUGGGGACAGGGACCACGUGGGUCAUUUUCAGAACCAGCUCCUGGACCACCUGCUGAUGUUGAUCCUGAUCCUGCACUAAUACUGGAGCCCCACAGUCCACCAACUAUUCUGUCACCAGCUCCAUCACCAGCAUCAGAUGGACAGGCAGCUGGAGGCGUAGAUUUCAAUCCUGGGCCACCUCCAGAAAUGGCUCCCAGAUGACCUGCUGAUGUCGAUCCUGCUCCUGCUCAACAUAAGAGCUCUAUAGAGCACCAGAUCCUCCAUCUCCAGCUCUGCCUCGGUCACCAGAGGUUGAGUUAUUUCCCGCACCUCCUCCACAGCCACCCCUCAUUCACAGCUAGGAAACAUCAGCUCCAGAACCAGACUCUUUCUUCAAUGCACCUGAGUGGGAAUUUUUUUGGUUUUGUCAUAGUAUUUUUCCAGGUCAUUUUAUACUUUAUACUAUUUUAACAGGUAGAUUUCUCAUAGAAUAAAAUGUUUUAAUAGUUUUAAAGUGUGUAGUAUAGUGGCUUUAUGUACUUUUACAAUCUUAUUCAACCAUCAUCAGUAUCUAAUUCAGAACAUUUUCAUCACCACUGUGAUGGUUAAUGUUAUGUGUAAAUCUGGUUAGGCGAUGCUUCUCAGGGGUUUGGCAGAAAUUAUGUAAUCAGCCUCCAUUUUGUGAUCGGAUGUGAGCAGCCAAUCAGUUGGAAGAGGAGUUUCCUUGGAGGAGUGAACUACAAAUUCACACACCUCCUGGUACCUGGUAUCCAGCCAUUAAUCUGACCCAUGCCUUUUUCUUCAUCCUCGUUUUGAAGAACAGGCCCCUCUCAGUGAAUCACAGCACUGAUCUGUAGGAUUUUGGAACAAAGCCCUGCCAUCCUCUGCAGAUAACUACUCUCUUUUUGAGAAACAGCUUUUGGCUUGUUACUGGGCCUUAGAGACAGCACGCUUAACCGUGGGCCAGCAAGUCACCCUGUGGCCUGAGCUUCCCAUUAUGAACUGGAUGUUGCCUGACCCACAGAGUUGUAAGGUUGGACUUGCCCGG